rnacentral:rRNA from 1 species
AUUGAACGCUGGCGGCAGGCCUAACACAUGCAAGUCGGGCGACCGGCGGACGGGUGAGUAAUGUAUGGGGAUCUGCCUGAUGGAGGGGGAUAACUACUGGAAACGGUAGCUAAUACCGCAUACCAUCAGAUGAUCCCAUAUGGGUUUAGCUUGUAGGUGAGGUAACGCCUCACCUAGGCGACGAUCCCUAGCUGGUCUGAGAGGAUGAUCAGCCACACGGGGACUGAGACACGGCCCAGACUCCUUGGGGGGGCAUCAGUGGGGAAUAUUGCACAAGGGGCGCAAGCCUGAUGCAGCCGUGCCGCGGGUAUGAAGAAGGCCUUCGGGUUGUAAAGUAUUUUCAGUCGGGAGGCGUUACCGACAGAGGAAGGGCCGGCUAACUCCGUGCCAGCAGCCGCGGUAAUAC